rnacentral:rRNA from 1 species
AGCUCCAAUAGCGUAUAUUUAAGUUGUUGCAGUUAAAAGCUCGUAGUUGGAUUUCGGAUGUGAACGACCGGUCCGCCGUUGCGGUGUGCACUGGACGUUUGUAUCUUGUUGUCGGGGACGCGCACCUUGCCUUAAGUGGUCGGGACGCGGAGUCGGCGCUGUUACUUUGAAAAAUUAGAGUGUUCAAAGCAGGCAACCGCUCUGAAUACAUUAGCAUGGAAUAACGCUAUAGGACUCUGGUCUUAUUGUGUUGGUCUUCGAGACCGGAGUAAUGAUUAAGAGGGACAGUUGGGGGCAUUCGUAUUUCAUUGUCAGAGGUGAAAUUCUUGGAUUUAUGAAAGACGAACUUCUGCGAAAGCAUUUGCCAAGGAUGUUUUCAUUAAUCAAGAACG